CCCCUUCUCUUUUUUUUUUGAAUUUCUUUUUUUCCAAAUUCUUUUCCAAAUUCAUUUGGACCAGUUUAAAAUCAUUUUCACCUCUUGCUCCUAAAAACAAAGUUGUUCCAAAACAAAAACUCUACAACUUUGCUUUAAUAAGCAGGACCAAAUUCCAAAUAGAAUUUGAAUUACAAAUUAAAACUCAGUUCUAGGUUUUUAAAUAAAUUCCAUUUGGAAAUCUUGUAUAAAUUCCAUUUCUCAAAUUCCAU
rnacentral:lncRNA from 1 species